GAACUGCAGGGCCGUCGCCCGCCUCUCUCCUUCCCGCCCGCUCUCUUGGUGCGGCCUCAGCGCUUCGCUCUGCCCUUGCUGUGUGUGACCUCCGAGCCGCGGGCGGUGGUCGGCAGAGUGGCUCGACCGUCACUGCUUCGUUUCUCACUCACCCGGCCUGGCCUCGGCCCCGCCGCCCUCGUUCUUCCCUGGCCAGCCCGGAGCCCUGCGGUCACUUUAAGAUAUUAUACAAUAAGAAUUUGCCAAUUUGCUAUCCAAAAUCCACCUCAUGAAGUGAAACUGCUUCUCUGGAGAUGAAAGAAAGAUGAAAGGCCUAUUGAUCUGUUUGGAUGCGUGUUGGGAUUCCUGCGAUGAGGGUAUUGAAAGUCAUUAAAACAUGAAACUUAAAGAGAACUCUAUCAUCAUUGUCUUCAAAUUAAGGUCUGAAAAAAAAUAGAUGAAACACAUCUUCAAUAAAUUAUUUGGGGGGAGUAUUUGUUCCACACUCAUUGUCUCACAAAGUGCUUUCAAGUCUGCAAGUUACUAUGACAAAUCCUGGGCUGGAGGGAUGCGUCUGUGGUGUUGGUGUACAUGCUCUUCCAGAGGACCUGAGUUCAAUUUCCAGUACCCACAUGAGGCAGCUUGCAACUGCCUCUCACUCCAUCCCCAGGGCAUCUGACGGUGUUGGCCUCCAUGAGCCCCUGUGCACACUCACACAUAGAUACAUAAUUUAAAAAAUAAAUGUUUUCAAAAGAAUGACAAAUUUGGAUGAUCUAGAUUUAAAACUUUAAAUGCAAAAAUAAAAUCACACCUGUGUACAUGA